rnacentral:rRNA from 1 species
CCUACGGGGCGCAGCAGUGGGGAAUAUUGGGCAAUGGACGCAAGUCUGACCCAGCAACGCCGCGUGAAGGAAGAAGGCUUUCGGGUUGUAAACUUCUUUUAAGGGGGAAGAGCAGAAGACGGUACCCCUUGAAUAAGCCACGGCUAACUACGUGCCAGCAGCCGCGGUAAUACGUAGGUGGCAAGCGUUGUCCGGAUUUACUGGGUGUAAAGGGCGUGUAGCCGGGAAGGCAAGUCAGAUGUGAAAUCCGGAGGCUCAACCUCCGAAUUGCAUUUGAAACUGUUUUUCUUGAGUACUGGAGAGGG